GGAGAAGCUACUAAGAGCUUACGGCGGAUGCCUUGGCGCUGAGUGCCGAUGAAGGACGUGGGUCACUGCGAUAAGCCUCGGGGAGCUGUGAACAAGCGCCGAUCCGGGGAUUUCCGAAUGGGGAAACCCACAGUUGCGAACCAACUGUAUCGCUGGCUGAAUCUAUAGG
rnacentral:rRNA from 1 species